UACGUAGGGUGCAGGCGUUAAUCGGAAUUACUGGGCGUAAAGCGUGCGCAGGCGGUUCGCAAAGUCUGAUGUGAAAGCCCCGGGCUCAACCUGGGAACUGCAUUGGAAACUAACGGGCUCGAGUGUGGCAGAGGGGGGUGGAAUUCCACGUGUAGCAGUGAAAUGCGUAGAGAUGUGGAGGAACACCGAUGGCGAAGGCAGCCCCCUGGGCUAACACUGACGCUCAGGCACGAAAGCGUGGGGAGCAAACAGG
rnacentral:rRNA from 1 species